UACGUAGGGGGCGAGCGUUGUCCGGAUUCAUUGGGCGUAAAGAGCUCGUAGGCGGCUUGAUAAGUCGGGUGUGAGACCUCCAGGCUCAACCUGGAGUCGCCACUCGAUACUGUCAUGGCUAGAGUCCGGUAGGGGACCACGGAAUUCCUGGUGUAGCGGUGAAAUGCGCAGAUAUCAGGAGGAACACCGGUGGCGAAGGCGGCAUCCUGGACCAACACUGACGCUGAGUGAGCGAAAGCCAGGGGAGCAAACGGG
rnacentral:rRNA from 1 species